rnacentral:rRNA from 1 species
UACGAAGGGUGCAAGCGUUACUCGGAAUUACUGGGCGUAAAGCGUGCGUAGGUGGUUCGUUAAGUCUGAUGUGAAAGCCCUGGGCUCAACCUGGGAAUUGCAUUGGAUACUGGCGAGCUAGAGUGCGGUAGAGGAUGGCGGAAUUCCCGGUGUAGCAGUGAAAUGCGUAGAGAUCGGGAGGAACACCGAUGGCGAAGGCAGGUCUCUGGGCAUUAACUGACGCUGAGGAGCGAAAGCAUGGGAAGCGAACAGG